rnacentral:rRNA from 1 species
GGAGAAAAGCAGGGGAUCGCAAGACCUUGCGCUCAUUGAGCGGCCGAUGCCUGAUUAGUUAGUUGGUGAGGUAAAGGCUUACCAAGGCGACGAUCAGUAGCUGGUCUGAGAGGACGACCAGCCACACUGGGACUGAGACACGGCCCAGACUCCUACGGGAGGCAGCAGUGGGGAAUUUUGGACAAUGGGGGAAGCCCUGAUCCAGCCAUGCCGCGUGAGUGAAGAAGGCCUUCGGGUUGUAAAGCUCUUUCAGCCGGGACGAAACGGUCACGGCUAAUACCUGUGACUACUGACGGUACCGGAAGAAGAAGCACCGGCUAACUACGUGCCAGCAGCCGCGGUAAUACGUAGGGUGCGAGCGUUAAUCGGAAUUACUGGGCGUAAAGCGUGCGCAGGCGGUUUUGUAAGUCAGAUGUGAAAUCCCCGGGCUUAACCUGGGAACUGCGUUUGAUAAUAGAAAGCUAGAAGGGC